rnacentral:rRNA from 1 species
UUGUAUUCCAUAUAUUUUAAAGGUACCAGAUCCUGUCUGACCUUGGAAGCUAAGCAGGGUUGGCCCUGUUUAGUAUUGUAUGGGAGACCACCAGCGAAUACCAGGUGCUAUAUUUC